rnacentral:lncRNA from 1 species
UUGAAAGAUACUUUUUUCCUAAAAGCCGAGCCAAUAGGAUGAACUAAAAAAAAAAAAAAGAGUUCUGCAUUAUGAACUUUGUAUCGCGCACAUAACUUAGUCAACUUUAGUCACAUAACUGGGAAUGAAUAAAUAAGAUUGGAAAGCAAUACAAUAAAUGGGGGGGUUAAAAUUCUAUUUCUAUUGUAUCUAAUCUAAUGAAUCUUGGGGGUAUUUCUGCCCUUCAACGAUAGAUACUAUAGAUAGAUAUAGAUAGAUAGAUAUAGAUCUUUUUUUUUUUACUUUUUUUUAUUCUUUCAACCAGAACUUUCCUUUCGAAUAUGUAUUAGGUAUAAAGUCUUAUACAUUUUUUUUGAACGGAUGGAUCCACAACAUGAACAAAAAAGAGAGGGGGAUAAAGGAUUAUUGCACUUUUUUUACUAAAGAUACGUUUAAUUUGAAGACUAUAAACUUAUCAAAAUUAAUCAAUCCUAUGCCAAGAACCAGAUUUGAACUGGUGACACGAGGAUUUUCAGUCCUCUGCUCUACCAACUGAGCUAUCCCGGCCAUUACCGAAGUAUCAUUCUCAUUUUAUGAGAUGACUUAGGUCUAUGUCAAUUAAAAGAAACGCAAAAGUAGUAAAUGAAAAAAGUUUUGGACCGGGAAUUUAUUGGAUCUUCGAAAAGAAGACUUUCUAAGUUUUAGAAUGAAAAAUUAUUUAGAUUCGAAAUAAUUCAAAUCGAUAGUUCUUUCUCAUUUGUAUAUGUAUGAUAUAUCCCACAAGACUUGUAUAUAAUAAGAAAAGAAAUUCGAGUUUGUAAAAGUGUCGGAUGAAUGAAAAAAGAUCAAUGAAUUCUUGAAUAACUAAAAAAAGGGUAAGGUGUCAAACAGACUUUUUUAGGGAGUAGGGUUGGGGAUAGAGGGACUUGAACCCUCACGAUUUUAAAAGUCAACGGAUUUUCAUCUUACUAUAAAUUUCAUUGUUGUCAGUAUUGACAUGUAGAAUGGGACUCUAUCUUUAUUCUCGUCCGAUUAAUAAGUUCCACCAAGGAUCUAUCAGACUAUGAAGUGAAUCGUUUGAUUCAACACAAGGGAUUGAACUCCAUUUGUUAGAACAGCUUCCAUUGAGUCUCUGCACCUAUCCCGCUUUCUAAACUCUGGUUUGUUCGCGUAACCCAGGAUUUGGCUCAGGAUUGCCCAUUGUUAAUUCCAGGGUUUCUCUGAAUUUGAAAGUUAUCACUUAGUAGGUUUCCAUACCAAGGCUCAAUCCAAUUAAGUCCGUAGCGUCUACCAAUUCCGCCAUAUCCCCCUUUUUGCUUUGAGAUUAGGAUCUCAUUAUGAUGUCUUUCCACUUUUUCUUAUGACGAAACCUUGGAAUUCAUUACAUACAGAUACUUAUUUUAUUUCUUUGGUAUCUUCUUGCAUUUUUUUUAGCCCCAUCCAUAUUGAUUUAGUUUAAUCAACAAAGAUUCUAUCAUUUUUGUAUUUGCAAUUCAAUAUGGUUAUAUAUUAGAGAACAUAUAUAUGUUCUUCCUUUUCUCAUCGUUGUCUUCAAUUUUAAGAAAUAGUCGAAUGGGAAUUAAUUAUUUUGAAGGAAAUUAUUUCAAUAUCUAGAUAUUUAUGUCUUGACAAAGCGUUCCCCGAAUGAUGCAUCGAGAUCAGAGUCAACCUCCAUGAACCUUUAUGGACUAAACUCAUAACUGGUCUAAAAAUGAAUCUCCACGCAUUCGCCUGGGCUGCGGAAGACUUGCCAGGGAUUGACAUCAACAUAACCUGCCACGAGCUGAAUAUCGAUCCAACCUUCAAACCAGUCGAACAUAAAAGACGAAAGUUGGGACCUGAGCGCGCUACUGCAGUCAACGACGAAGUCGAAAAACUGCUUAAAGUCGGAUCGAUAACAGAAGUCAACCCUGUAGCUGUCAAGAAGAAAAACGGAAAGUGGCGAGUCUGUGUUGACUUUACUGACCUUAACAAAGCCUGUCCAAAGGAUAGCUCCCCCUUACCACAUCGAUCAAUUGGUCGAAGCAACAGCGGGAAACAAACUCUUGUCCUUCAUGGAUGCCUUUUCGGGUUACAAUCAAAUUAUGAUGAACCCUGACGAUCGCAAAAAAAUUGCAAUUAUUACAUAUCGCAGAACUUAUUGCUACAAGGUGAUGCCCUUCAGCCUCAAAAACGCCGGCGCAACUUAUCAAAGACUCGUAAACCAGAUGUUCUCCGAACAACUUGGUAAAACUAUGGAGGUCUAUAUCGACGACAUGCUCGUCAAAUCCCUCCAUGCAGAAGAUCACGUGUCUCAUCUAGAGGAAUUUUUCAUGCGACUAAACAUGCACAACAUCAAGCUUAACCCGGCAAAAUGCAGAUUCGCCGUAGCGUCGGGGGAAUUCCAAGGUUACCUAGUGACAUACCGCGGUAUCGAAGCUAAUCCAAAACAAAUCGAUGCACUGAUCGAGAUGGCUUCGCCCAAAAACAAGCGGGAAGUACAUAGAUUAACCAGGAGAGUCGCAGCACUUAACCGAUUCAUCUCGCGAUCAACGGACAAAUGCUUACCUUUCAACGAUAUCCUACGGGGGAACAAAAAAUUUGAGUGGUCAGAGGAGUGCGAAAAUGCUUUUCAACAGCUGAAACGCUACUUGGCAACCCCUCCGGUUCUCACAAAACCUGUCGAAGGACAACCUUUGUUCUUAUAUAUCGCAGUAUCAGCAACAGCCGUAAGCGGCGUCUUGAUCAGAGAAGAGCACGGUGAACAGAAACCCAUUUUCUACAUAAGCAAAACUUUGCUAGAUGCUGAGUCACGAUAUCCACUAAUGGAAAAAUUAGCAUACGCGGUCGUAAUAUCGGCACGAAAGCUCCGACCGUACUUCCAAUCCCACACGAUCGUCAUCCUCACGACCUUCCCUCUGAGGACGAUUUUGCAUAGUCCGAGCCAGUCGGAAAGACUAGCCAAAUGGGGAGUCGAGUUAAGUGAGUAUGAUAUAGAAUACCGACCAAAAACGAGUGCAAAAUCCCAAGUACUAGCAGAUUUGUUGGUAGAGCUACCGACGGGAACCGUGACUAACAAGGAACCAAACUCGACAUGGGUCCUUCACGUCGACAGAUCGUCAUCUAAGCAAGGAUCGGGCAUCAGAAUUCGCCACACGUCACCAACCAGUGAAAUCCUAGUACAAUCGUUUAGACUGGAAUUUCACGAGUCCAACAACGAGGCCGAGUACGAAGCACUCAUUGCAGGACUACGAUUAGCUCACGGAUUGAAGAUACGCAACAUCCAUGCCUACUGUGAUUCUCAGCUAGUCGCAAGUCAGUAUAGCGGAGAAUACGAAGCAAGGGAUGAAAGAAUGGAUGCAUAUCUCAAAUUGGUCCAGAAUCUAGCUCAAGAUUUUGACUGUUUCGCUCUCACGCGAAUUCCUUGCUCCGAAAACGUCCAAGCCGAUGCUCUCCCUUCCCUGGCAUCAAGUUCAGAUCCAUGUCUUAAAAGAGUAAUUCCAGUAGAAUUCAUUAAACACCCGAGUAUCGGACCACCAGUCAUUGUCAACCUCAUCAGGGAUGAAGACGACGAUGUAGACGAGGUCGCAGUACAACUAGAAGAAAAGUCGGAGCAAUCCGACUACGGCUGCGAUACGCCAUGGCUGGAAACAAUUCGAGCCUACAUCAUCGACGGAAAAUUACAUCCGCAAAAUCCGAACCCAAGCUGCGCGUUAUGUAACCAUCGACGGAGAAAUUUACAAAUGGAAAUUUUCCGGACCGCUCAUGACGUGUUUGGAAGGAGAAAAUGCGAGAAAAGUUAUGGAAGAAGUCCAUUAUGGAUCCUGCCGAAACCAUUCCGGUGGAAGGUCACUUGCAGUGAAGAUCAAAUGCCACGGAUACUAUUGGCCAACGAUGAUCAGAGAUUGUAAGAAAUUCGCACGAAAAUGCGAAAAGUGCCAAAGGCAUUCUCCGACCAUCCGACAACCAGCCGAGGUUCUCUCUUCCAUCACGUCACCGUAUCCUUUCAUGCGCUGGGCCAUGGACAUCGUCGGACCCCUUCACAAUUCAAAGCAAAAGAGUUUCCUCUUAGUCCUCACUGAUUUCUUCUCAAAGUGGGUGGAGGCAGAAUCAUACGCGAGUAUAAAAGAUGUCCAAGUUGAAAAUUUCGUAUGGAAAAACAUUAUCUGUAGACACGGAGUUCCUUACAAAAUUGUUACUGACAACGGAUCUCAGUUCAUCUCCGCCUGAUUCGAAGCAUUCUGCGAAAAAUGGAAGAUACGAUUAAACAAAUCAACUCCCAGAUAUCCACAAUGCAACGGUCAAGCCGAGAUAAUCAAUAAGACCGUUCUAGACGGACUUAAGAAACACCUAGACGCUAAAAAAGGCAUGUGGGAAGAAGAGCUCGAAGGAGUACUCUGGUCGCACCGCACGACCCCAAGACGAGCAACGGGAGAAAUGCCUUUCGCCCUCGUAUACGGGACAUAAUGCAUGAUCCCCCCAGAAGUCGAAUUCCCGGGCGUCCGAAGAAGAUUACUUCCCGAACGAGAAGAGUUCAACAACACCAUGCUCCUAGACAAUCUCGACCUCAUAAAUGAGCAUCGGGAUAUAGCGCUCGUCCGAAUUCAAAAUUAUCAAUAGGCAGCCGCAAAAUACUAAUUCCAACGUUCAAAAUUGCCGAUUCAACGAAGGAGAUUUAGUCUUGCGCAAAGUCUUCCAAAACACCGCUGAGCGAAACGCGGGAAAACUUGGAGCAAAUUGGGAAGGACCCUACAAGAUCAUAAAAGUAAUUGGACCGGGUUCCUACGAGAUAGCAAACAUGCAAGGCGUAAAAAUUCCAAGGACUUGGAACGCAAUGCAUCUCAAAAAAUAUUAUAACUAAACAAAUCGCUUCGCAAUCACUAAACUACGAGACGACUUGAUCUCCGAAAGGGGUACGUAGGCAGUUUGUCGAAAGAAAAAUUCAGCUGCCCCUCUCUAUAAAAAGGGGUGGGGGGGUGGGGCGGGUACGUAUACGUAUACUCGUAUACUCCCAAGAUUAAAAUAUCUGACAUAACACUCGAUAUUUUCAAAACUUUUCCAACGCAAAAAUACCACAGAACCGCACGAUCAUCUCUGAUCCAAAAAUUAUAUUCGAGUCUUAAAAGAACUCGCAAAUUUACCAGUCACUAGGGAAAAAUCAACCUUUGGCAUUGCGAGACGUCACAAAAACGCCUAAGAAACUAUUUCCCACCAGACAUCGCAUAGACAAAAUCCUGGUCUCAAAAAAAAAAGGAACUAUCAUACGCAUUAAAAUCUUCUCAAACACGUACUCUUCUCGAAGAUCCGAAUGGUAGAAUCUACCACCAGGUUCGUUGCUGAUCACAUCGAACUCCCAACGUCCUAAACAGACUAAGCCAUCUCACAAAGAUGACUCUUAUACAUCCGACACAAGGGUAACAUUGCUAUAAAAGAAAUCUGAAAUUUUGGUCAGCACUUCCACUUUUAAGAAAAAAUAUGGUAGACUAACUGAUCUUUCUAUCAGUUAAUGAAAGAGCCCAAUGCAAAAAAAAUGCAUGUUGGGUCUUUGAAAGAGUUCGAAUCAUUUUGAUAAUAAUAAGUUCGAGCUCUUUUACCGAGCAGGUCUACGGUUCGAAUCCGUAUAGCCCUAACUAAUAAAUUUAUUCUAAUAAAUGACAUUCAAAUCCAAAUAAUUGGAUAAUUUUUGACUUUUUAUUGUAUUCUUUAUUUCUAACUGGUUACUUUCAAUUUGUUGGUUCAUAAAAAAAACUCCCAGACCCUAAACCAUAAGUCCUGGGGGUCGUUCAGAAUAAAACGGAAAACCAAAUUUGAUUUCAUUUGAUUUCAGUGGAUCCAAUCACUAUCUAUAGAUAUAUCUAGAUAGAUACUUAUAAUUUAGAAUAAACGUUUUUUAUUCAUUCAUUUUCAUAGUCGUAAGUGGAUUUUUUGAUACGUCAUAAUUUUAAAAACGAAGAUAUUUUUAUCAAUUUGUUUUAUUUUUAAAUAAAACAUAAAGCAAAUUUAAGAAACAGAAAUAAAAAAAAUUACUAGUUAUUAAUCAUAUUAAUAUUAUAUUAUUAAUAUGAGAAACUAUUAGUAAUAGAAACAUGGAAAUAUUAAGUAAUAAGUGUACUGAAAAUAAGAUUACAAUCAAUAAAUCUUAAAAGGAGACGUCUACCACAGCAACCAAACGAAAAUAAAUGAUUCGAUUAACCUGAAUUUUUGUUUUGACGCAAGAGUUAUAUAUACCUUGCCCAAUCCACUCCGAUUGGAAUUGACUAAGCGGGUAUUUUUUCCACAUUCAUAGGAGUUCGUCUAUGUUUCUGCUUUACGAAUAUGAUAUUUUCUGGGCAUUUUUAAUAAUAUCAAGUGCUAUUCCUGUUUUGGCAUUUCUAAUUUCCGGGGUUUUAUCUCCAAUUACGAAGGGGCCGGAGAAACUUUCUAGUUAUGAAUCAGGUAUAGAACCGAUCGGGGAUGCUUGGUUACAAUUUAGAAUCCGUUAUUAUAUGUUUGCUCUAGUUUUUGUUGUUUUUGAUGUUGAAACCGUUUUUCUGUAUCCGUGGGCAAUGAGUUUCGAUGUACUAGGGGUAUCCGCUUUUAUAGAAGCUUUCAUUUUCGUGCUUAUCCUAAUUCUUGGUUUAGUUUAUGCAUGGCGAAAAGGAGCGUUGGAAUGGUCUUAGUUCGUUUCCUGAAUACUUGUACAAUAACAAUAAAAAAAAAGUAAAAAAAAACCAUUGAAACAAUUAUGAAUUCCAUUAAGUUUCCCGUACUUGAUCGAACAACAAAAAACUCAGUUAUUUCAACUACGUUAAAUGAUCUUUCAAAUUGGUCAAGACUUUCCAGCCUAUGGCCGCUUCUUUAUGGUACCAGUUGUUGUUUUAUUGAAUUUGCCUCAUUAAUAGGCUCCCGAUUUGACUUUGAUCGUUAUGGGCUAGUACCAAGAUCAAGUCCUAGACAGGCGGACCUUAUUUUAACAGCAGGUACAGUAACAAUGAAAAUGGCUCCUUCUUUAGUGAGAUUAUAUGAACAAAUGCCUGAACCAAAGUAUGUUAUUGCUAUGGGAGCGUGUACAAUUACAGGGGGGAUGUUCAGUACCGAUUCUUAUAGUACUGUUCGAGGGGUUGAUAAGCUAAUUCCUGUAGAUGUCUAUUUGCCGGGUUGUCCACCUAAACCAGAGGCUGUUAUAGACGCUAUAACAAAGCUUCGUAAGAAAAUAGCUAGAGAAAUCUAUAAGGAUCGAAUUAGACCUCAACGGGGUAAUCGGUGUUUUACUACCAAUCACAAGUUUUUUGUUGUACGCAGUACACAGACUGGAAAUUAUGAUCAAGAAUUACUCUAUCCACCAUCAUCUACUUCAGAGAUCUCUACUGAAACAUUUUUUAAAUACAAAAGCCCAGUAUCUUCCCACGAAUUAGUUAAUUAGGGAGGCUUUGAGAGAAUAAGAAAAAAAUCUUCAUAAAUUAGAACUCAUGGUAAAUGUGAAAUACUUAAAUUUAUAUAAAAAAGGUGUGGGGGAAAUAAAAAAGAUGCAGGGCACUUUGUCCGUUUGGCUAGCCAAACGCGGGCUGGUUCAUAGAUCGUUGGGCUUCGAUUACCAAGGAAUAGAGACUUUACAAAUAAAGCCCGAAGAUUGGCAUUCUAUUGCUGUAAUUUUAUAUGUAUAUGGUUACAAUUAUUUACGUUCCCAAUGUGCCUAUGAUGUGGCACCAGGUGGCCUCUUAGCCAGUGUGUAUCAUCUUACGAGAAUAGAAUAUGGUGUCAAUCAAGCGGAAGAAGUUUGCAUAAAAGUAUUUACUCACAGGAGUAAUCCCAGAAUUCCAUCUGUUUUCUGGGUUUGGAAAAGUACGGAUUUUCAAGAACGGGAAUCUUAUGAUAUGUUAGGAAUCACUUAUGAUAGCCAUCCGCGGCUGAAACGGAUCUUAAUGCCCGAAAGUUGGAUAGGGUGGCCUUUACGUAAGGAUUAUAUUGCCCCCAAUUUUUAUGAAAUACAAGAUGCUUAUUGAAUGAUAAAAAAUUUGAAUGAUAAAAAUGAGUCUUAGUUUCUACAACUACGGACCUUCGCGGAAUAUUUUGAAUUCGAGUCGUUUUUAGAUCAAACAAACAGAAGAAUUAAGGUCUUAUUCAUAUUAUUAUAGAUAGCUUAAUCUCCAAUUUGAAAGAUACUUUUUUCCUAAAAGCCGAGCCAAUAGGAUGAACUAAAAAAAAAAAAAAGAGUUCUGCAUUAUGAACUUUGUAUCGCGCACAUAACUUAGUCAACUUUAGUCACAUAACUGGGAAUGAAUAAAUAAGAUUGGAAAGCAAUACAAUAAAUGGGGGGGUUAAAAUUCUAUUUCUAUUGUAUCUAAUCUAAUGAAUCUUGGGGGUAUUUCUGCCCUUCAACGAUAGAUACUAUAGAUAGAUAUAGAUAGAUAGAUAUAGAUCUUUUUUUUUUUACUUUUUUUUAUUCUUUCAACCAGAACUUUCCUUUCGAAUAUGUAUUAGGUAUAAAGUCUUAUACAUUUUUUUUGAACGGAUGGAUCCACAACAUGAACAAAAAAGAGAGGGGGAUAAAGGAUUAUUGCACUUUUUUUACUAAAGAUACGUUUAAUUUGAAGACUAUAAACUUAUCAAAAUUAAUCAAUCC